UUUUGAAGUCGUGAAGCUGUGUGAAGAGGAAGUUGUGCACGUCUGCCGUGCGGUGUGCCCAUUCUGCCUGGGCGUGAAUUGAUUGCAUGGAUUGAAGGCUAAAGUGCCGAAAAGAAAGACAUGCUGGGCCACCAUGUUUGAAGAGGACUGAUUUUAAGUUAGUUAAUUAGCUAGUAGUCCACUAGUUUGUUUUUGUGGACUUUACGUUACUUUUUUUAGUUGCCUAUUUAGACUAGGUUAGUAGGUUUUGAUUUUUCCUUAGUUAUAUAUAUAUUAGCUAGAGAUCAAUUUGAGGGGGACUUUGUUUUUGGAGAUAUCAUACAUAUUCCAGACGGCAACUUUGAAGCAAAAUUGUGGAAGCAAAUUUGGAGUUCUCAAUUCAAGUUUUAUUCCUUCAUCUUUCCUUUGCAAUUAAUUAUUUAUUUUGUUUGAUUUAUUUUUAU
rnacentral:lncRNA from 1 species